AGUGUCUCUGGUUCACACCCGGACCCACCGCGACCAGCCGGAGCGCUGGAGCCCAGCCCGCUGCCGGAGCCACUGGGAGAGCUGCCGCGCAGCCCGCACCUUGCCAAAGCCCCCCCCGGGCAGCGGUGCCCAGAGCGCGCGUGGCUCCGCUCCAGGGGGAGGUGUUAGGCGCUAACCACCCCCUCCACCCAGCCCUGAUCACCUGCCAGCUCGCACUGCAGCAGGGCAGACGCUCCCAUCCCGAGCGCCCGCUAAAGCCCAAACCCUCCGUGGGAUGCUGCGGAAAUGCCCUGGAGCGAGGGGCGCGUCAGAGGCCGUGACAUUGGAGGAGGUGAGGUCAGGGAAUCAGAGUCACCACAUUCAACUGAAGCUGCAGGUGGAAUUUAGCCUGCAGAAGCCAAAUGGUGCAGCAAUUGACAAGAGCAGAGGCUGUGCCCAUCCCCAUAAUGCUAAACAAGGAGAGGUCCCUGCUAGAACCUGGCUAGUGAGCCCACUAUGCUUGAGAAGCACCUUACUUAACCCUCAGCCCACAGAAGUGAAAUAAAGGAGGGACUGAAUAUAAACA